rnacentral:rRNA from 1 species
GAUGAACGCUGGCGGCGUGCCUAAUACAUGCAAGUCGAGCGAACGGACGAGAAGCUUGCUUCUCUGAUGUUAGCGGCGGACGGGUGAGUAACACGUGGAUAACCUACCUAUAAGACUGGGAUAACUUCGGGAAACCGGAGCUAAUACCGGAUAAUAUUUUGAACCGCAUGGUUCAAAAGUGAAAGACGGUCUUGCUGUCACUUAUAGAUGGAUCCGCGCUGCAUUAGCUAGUUGGUAAGGUAACGGCUUACCAAGGCAACGAUGCAUAGCCGACCUGAGAGGGUGAUCCGCCACACGGGAACUGAGACACGGUCCAGACUCCUACGGGAGGCAGCAGUAGGGAAUCUUCCGCAAUGGGCGAAAGCCUGACGGAGCAACGCCGCGUGAGUGAUGAAGGUCUUCGGAUCGUAAAACUCUGUUAUUAGGGAAGAACAUAUGUGUAAGUAACUGUGCACAUCUUGACGGUACCUAAUCAGAAAGCCACGGCUAACUACGUG